rnacentral:lncRNA from 1 species
ACGGGACCAUUCAAGUGGUAAGUGACAAAUAUUGCCAGGAUUUAUGAUAAAGAAGAGAGCAGGUUUGGUAGGGUGGAUUAUUCUGUGAAAAAUUAUGAAAGCACAACCACCACUACACAUAGUCACACACUGGUGAUGUAAAUCAUGUGAAGCAAGGGCCACCGCCCCCUACUUUUAGUUUUUGGCUCCAUCUUUAACUCAUGCAUAUCCAAAAGCAAUUUAAAGUCCCUACUCAACAUGCCAUUGUCACAUAAAUUCUCUAGGAAAAAAAGUUACAAACAGAUAGAUACAUACAUAGAUCCACUGAAAAACAAACAAGGAAAAGGGGAGGUGAAGAAACAGACAUACAAACAACUCAGCUGGUUUAAGCUUCUUAAAAACUUUAAACAUUUAUCAAGGGACCACAAACAUAAAUUAAAUCCGGUCAAUGGAUUUACUUGGACUUGAAUGGAAUUGCUCUGAUCACAACCUGGUGGUAAAGCGCUGCCAGUGCUGCUCCAAUGAAUGGUCCUACCCAGAAGAUCCACUGUAAAAAAUAUGAGAUAUGCUCCACUUAAUUAGUGAUGAUCAUGCAACUAAACACUAUUUAUGUAUGUGCAACUAAAACUUGUAAGAAAUGACAGAUUAGUUGUUAAGGGAUAAUUGGAGGAGAGGGCUUACGUGAUCAUGCCACGCAUGGUCCUUGUUGAAGAUGAUAGCUGCACCAAGACUCCUGGCUGGGUUGAUACCAGUUCCGGUAAUGGGGAUAGUGGCCAAGUGAACCAAGAAAACAGCAAAUCCAAUGGGCAAUGGUGCCAAGAUCUGAAAAUUGAGCAUUAUCAUUAUCCGUUGCAACAAUAUUAUGUUCAUUUAAAUUUUAUCUCUCAUAAUCCAAUUUUGCCUACAAAUUAGCUGCAAACGUGUACUAUGGUAAUCAUAUGAUUAUCUGAUUACAAUACCAUUUCACGUUAGCAUAAAUCAUAAGUUGCGGUUUGAGUCCAAAAAAUCACUAGUUUUCACACCUUAAUUUCCACUUUGUAGACUAAAUUAGUUUGUUUAAAAGAAUACCAAUCAAACUAUACACACAAUUGGAAUAAAUUCAUCUUAAAAAUCAAAAACACAAGAGCGACGGGGGAGGGGGCUUACAGGAACAUGGGAGUCUCUAGCGCUACGCUUGGCAUC